rnacentral:rRNA from 1 species
CCCUUAGAUGUUCUGGGCCGCACGCGCGCUACAAUGAUGAAUUCAACGAGUUUAUAACCUUGGUUGAAAAGCCUGGGUAAUCUUUUGAACUUUCGUCGUGAUGGGGCUAGACCCUUGCAAUUAUUGGUCUCCAACGAGGAAUUCCUAGUAAACGCAAGUCAUCAGCUUGCAUUGAUUACGUCCCUGCCCUUUGUACACACCGCCCGUCGCACCUACCGAUUGAAUGGUCCGGUGAAAUCUUCGGAUUGAGACUUUGAUUUGUUUACUCAAAACGCUGUUUCAAGAAGUUGAUUAAACCUUACCAUUGAGAGGAAGGUGAAGUCGUAACA